GCCAGUGUGGCUUAGAGGUUUGAGCAUUGGACUUUGACACUAGAGACCAGGGUUCAAUUCCCAGCUUGGCCA